UACGAAGGGGGCUAGCGUUACUCGGAAUUACUGGGCGUAAAGGGCGCGUAGGCGGCGUGGUAAGUCACUUGUGAAAUCUCUGAGCUUAACUCAGAACGGCCAAGUGAUACUGCUGUGCUAGAGUGCAGAAGGGGCAAUCGGAAUUCUUGGUGUAGCGGUGAAAUGCGUAGAUAUCAAGAGGAACACCUGAGGUGAAGACGGGUUGCUGGGCUGACACUGACGCUGAUGCGCGAAAGCCAGGGGAGCAAACGGG
rnacentral:rRNA from 1 species